GUGUCAGCCGCCGCGGUAAUACGGAAGAUCCGAGCGUUAUCCGGAAUUACUGGGCGUAAAGAGUUGCGUAGGUGGCAUAGGAAGCGAGUAGUGAAAGGUCCCGGCUCAACCGGGGAUACAUUAUUCGAACUCCUAAGCUUGAGCAUGAGAGAGGUAGAUGGAAUUUCUAGUGUAGGAGUGAAAUCCGUAGAUAUUAGAAGGAACACCGAUGGCGUAGGCAGUCUACUGGCUCAUUGCUGACACUAAGGCACGAAAGCGUGGGGAGCGAACGGGAUUAGAAACCCGAGUAGUCC
rnacentral:rRNA from 1 species